rnacentral:rRNA from 1 species
AUUGAACGCUGGCGGCAUGCCUUACACAUGCAAGUCGAACGGUAACAGGUCUUCGGAUGCUGACGAGUGGCGAACGGGUGAGUAAUACAUCGGAACGCGCCUAGUAGUGGGGGAUAACUACUCGAAAGAGUGGCUAAUACCGCAUGAGAUCUACGGAUGAAAGCAGGGGAUCGCAAGACCUUGUGCUACUAGAGCGGCCGAUGGCAGAUUAGGUAGUUGGUGGGAUAAAAGCUUACCAAGCCGACGAUCUGUAGCUGGUCUGAGAGGACGAUCAGCCACACUGGGACUGGGACACAGCCCAGACUCCUACGGGAGGCAGCAGUGGGGAAUUUUGGACAAUGGGCGCAAGCCUGAUCCAGCAAUGCCGCGUGCAGGAUGAAGGCCUUCGGGUUGUAAACUGCUUUUGUACGGAACGAAAAGCCCUGGGUUAAUACCCUGGGGUCAUGACGGUACCGUAAGAAUAAGCACCGGCUAACUACGUGCCAGCAGCCGCAGUAACAC